AUGGAUUGUGAAAAGGUGUGCAGCACAGCCCGGAUAAAGAUGCAGGGUGAGGGUGAGGAGAAUGGAGUGUACAAAACUCUCCGUGUCUUUGGAGCGUGGCUGGCAGGAGAAGGAGGCAGGAACCGCGAUGGCGCCUCAGAAGCACGGCGGUGGGGGAGGGGGCGGCUUGGGGCGGCGGCGGCAGCACUGCCACCGUUACCGGUGAAGAAACCGAAAACGGAGCACGUCCAGGCUGACCACGAGCUUUUCCUCCAGGCCUUUGAGAAACCAACACAGAUCUAUAGAUUUCUUCCAACUCGAAAUCUCAUAGCACCAAUCUUUUUGCACAGAACUCUUACUUACAUGUCUCAUCGAAACUCCAGAACGAACAUCAAAAGGAAAGCAUUUAAGGUCGAUGAUAUGUUAUCAAAAGUAGAGAAAAUGAAAGGAGAGCAAGAAUCUCAUAGCUUGUCUGCUCAUCUGCAGCUUACAUUUACUGGUUUCUUCCACAAAAAUGAUAAGCCAUCACAAAACUCAGAAAAUGAAUAAAAUUCUGUUACCUUAGAAGUCCUGCUUGUGGAAGUUUGCCACAAAAAAAGAAAGGAUGUAAGUUGCCCAAUAAGGCAAGUUCCCACAGGUAAAAAGCAGGUGCCUUUGAAUCCCGACCUCAAUCAAACAAAACCUGGAAAUUUUCCGUCCCUUGCAGUUUCCAGUAAUGAAUUCGAACCUAGUAACAGCCAUAUGGUGAAGUCUUACUCAUUACUAUUUAGAGUGACUCGUCCAGGAAGAAGAGACUUUAAUGGAAUGAUUAAUGGAGAAACCAAUGAAAAUAUUGAUGUCAGUGAAGAACUUCCAGCCAGAAGAAAACGAAAUCGUGAAGAUGGGGAAAAGACAUUUGUGGCACAAAUGACAGUAUUUGAUAAAAACAGGCGCUUACAGCUUUUAGAUGGGGAAUAUGAAGUAGCCAUGCAGGAAAUGGAAGAACGUCCAAUAAGGAAGAAAAGAGCAACAUGGGAGACUAUUCUUGAUGGGAAGAGGCUGCCUCAAUUUGAAACAUUUUCUCAGGGACCUACAUUGCAAUUCACUCUUCGCUGGACAGGAGAAACCAAUGAAAUCUACAGCUCCUAUUGCUAAGCCUCUUGCCACUAGAAAUUCAGAGAGUCUCCAUCAAGAAAACAAGCCUGGCUCAGUCAAACCUACGCAAACUAUUGCCGUGAAGGAAACAUUGACUACAGAUAUACAAGCAAGAAAAGAAAAAGAUACUUCAAAUGAGAACCGACAGAAAUUGAGAAUAUUUUAUCAGAUUCUUUAUAACAACGAUACACGACAACAAACGGAAGCAAGAGAUGACUUGCAUUGCCCUUGGUGCACGCCGAACUGUCGCAAACUUUACAGCUUACUCAAGCAUCUUAAACUCUGCCACAGCCGAUUUAUUUUCAAUUAUGUUUAUCAUCCAAAAGAUGCUAGGAUAGAUGUUUCUAUCAGAGUGUUACGAUGGCUCCUAUGCAGGAAAUCCACAGGAUAUUCAUCGCCAACCUGGCUUUGCUUUUAGUUGCAGUGGACCAGUAAACAGAACACCUAUCACACACAUUCUUGUGUGCAGGCCCAAACGAACAAAAGCAAGCAUGUCUGAAUUUCUUGAAUCUGAAGAUGGAGAAGUAGAACUGCAAAGAACAUACAGUAGCGGCCACAACCGUCUGUAUUUCCACAGUGACACCUGCUUGCCUCUCCGUCCACAAGAGAUGGAAGUAGAUAAGGAAGUAGAUGAAGAUGAGAAAGACCCAGAGUGGCUGAGAGAGAAGACCGUUACGCAAAUUGAAGAAUUUUCUGAUGUUAAUGAAGGAGAGAAAGAAGUAAUGAAACUAUGGAAUCUCCAUGUCAUGAAACAUGGGUUUAUUGCUGACAAUCAAAUGAAUCAUGCCUGUAUGCUGUUUGUAGAAAAUUAUGGACAGAAAAUAAUUAAGAAGAAUUUAUGUCAAAACUUCAUGCUUCAUCUAGUCAGCAUGCAUGGCUUUAAUCUUACUAGCAUAAUGUCAAUAGAUAAAGCUGUUACCAAGCUUGUGAAAUGCAACAAAAACUAGAAAAAGGAGAAUCUGCUUCUCCUGCAAAUGAAGAAGUACCUGAGGAACAGAAUGGGACAGCAAAUGGAUUUAGUGAAAUUAACUCAAAAGAGAAAGCUUUGGAAACAGAAGGUGUCUCAGGGGUUUCAAAACAGAGCAAAAAACAAAAACUCUGAAAAAACAAAUCUAACCCGAUAUAUGGACAAACACUGAAAUUGCAUUUGAGGGAAAUAAGCCUCUUCCUAGGGAGAGUUAUUUUGUGUUGUAUUUGUAAAUUCUAGGUUCCAAACAGGCACAUUAGAUGAAGUAAAUGAUUUCAGCAAGGAUAUAUGUCAAGGUUCUGCUUUACUUCAUCAUUCAGCAUCACAUGCUUACCCACUUUAUUGAUGUCAUUGAAUUGUUUUUCGUUUUGAGCAUGAAAAGCAGUACUUCAAGGGAAGUAUAACCGCAACUAUUGUCUUAAGAAAUAUAUUGAAUUAAUCUAGAAAUUUCAUAUAUUUAAAUUAUUAUGCUUUGGCAUUUGUGACUGGCUAUUUUUCUACUUUGUAAUCAUGAGACAUUUUGAGGAAGGAAAAUUGGAAUGUAAUUUGCUUUUUCCUUUUUUAAAAAAUGAAAAUUUUUGUAAAAACAUUUUACAAAAGAAUUGGGGUUGCAUUACUAGUUGCAGCCAAACCUUGAUCCUUGAUUUUGAAAUCAUGUUAUCCAUUGAGAAUGAAAAAUUACAAUGCAAAGUAUUUGCUGUCAU